GGAGAGAUGGCUGAGUGGACUAAAGCAUCGGAUUGCUAAUCCAUUGUGCAAGUUAUUCGUACUGAGGGUUCGAAUCCCUCUCUUUUCG
rfam:Gossypium raimondii chromosome 3, whole genome shotgun sequence.